UUCGCCGCCUUCCGUGUGUUGUCGCGGCGCGUGCGUGCUGCCUAGGCAACUGGAGGAGGCGUGGCCGAGCCGGCGCCUUUGCCCGGGGUGUUUUGCGCUUGCUCAGAAGCGCUCCCGAGGUUCCGGUACUGGCUUGAGGUGUUGGACUGCAAUUCCCAUCAUCCCCAGCUACACUGACGAAAAGCAAGGGAUGAUGGGAGCUGUAGUCCAAAAGCAGCUGGAGGGCCGCAGUGGGGGACCUCGGGCUAAAGGAUUUGUUUACUACCUGUUCUAGCAGGAGUUCUCAACCUUGGGCCCCCAAAUGUUGGACUACAACCCCCCACAAUGCCUUUGGCCAUUGUAGCUGGGGAUGAUGGGAGUUGUAGUCUAAUGCCUGGGAACCCAGCUUUGAACACCUCUGGCCUAGGGACCUUUAAGGGUCACAUGAGAAGGGAGAAGAAUUUCUCUCUUUCCACUCUCUCCACACCAUGCAUGAUUUUAUAGACCUCUAUCAUGUCUCCCCAUAGUCAUCUUGGAAGCAAGCUUGCCCAUGUAAUUAGCUUGAUAUGGUAAAGAACAUUGCACUGCAAACAGAGCAGGGUCACAAUCUACCACCACCUCAAAUGCCACCAUUUACUUAUUUAAAAUAUGUCCCACUCGUCCAGGGGCACACUGCUUAGGAUGGCUCACAAAAGCAGGGUAGCCACCCCUUGCUCACUUGGCAUUCGAGAGGCUGCCAUUGUAACAUCACCUGUGCAUAGGAGAUGGCCUGGUGCUAUCUGUAUUGGGGCUGCAGGGGCAUAACUAGAAUAGGGCAAGGCGAGACAGUUGUCUGGGGGUCCACUGCCGGGGGGGGGCAGAGGCAAGUCACAUGACUGACUCCCCCAGCCGCCCAGGCUUCCUUCAGUUGUAUUCAUCCUCCGAAACUGAUGUGAGUGUUCAGACCUGGAGCUACCAGAACAGCAUGUCAAGCGACUUGCAUUGUCCACAAUUUACAAAACCUAUUCAGGCUCAUUUAAGAUUUCUUUACUUCAUGAGCUGAGCUUCAGUGCGGGGGGUGGGGGUGGUGAAGGCAUUUUAAAAUCUUGUCUCUGGGCCCACUCCAACCUUGCUAUGCCCCUGUGGGGGUGGAAACACAAUUUUUGCAAAUUGUGGCGCUCCCCAUGUUGCUGAACUACAACUCCCAUAAUCCCCAGCCACAAUAAUUUGUAGCUGUGGACAAUAGGAACUGCAGUUCAGCAACUUCUGGAGUGCCACAGGGUGGGAAACCCUCUUCUAGACGGGGAAGCAGGGAGAAUCUCUGCAGGGAGAAACCACCUGUGUCUGCUCCCAUCCCCCCCCCCCCGCCAGGAGCCUUUGUCUACCUGCCCUUUGCCUACCUGGCUCUGACCUCAGGAUGAUGCGGGGUCUUCCUUUGUGAUGCGCCCAUUGUUCUCCAGCACCAUAGCCAGGCACAGAGGGACAGAGGCCAGGCGGAGGAGGAGGAGGAAGCCGCUGUUGCUGGAGGAGCCUGAUGCCCCCCCCCCCGCCCAGGAGGAGAGGAAGGCAGGCAGGCCAAGCCCAGAGGUGCUCCUUAGGCCAGGGUUGGCCCCUCUGCUGCUUCCGGAGAAUGUCACCCAGGAGGAAAGUGACCUCGAUGGUGGCAACAGGGCCAGGCUGAGCUCAGGCAGCUGCCGUGGUCUGGGGGGCCCACAGGAGGAGGGCCUGCUGCUGCAGGUCACCCAGGGGGACAUCUCUCUUGGGGCCAGCCCAGACAGAUGGAGAGAGCCCCAGGCCUGCUCUGGGCUACCCCUCGACUCCAAAGGCUUCCAAGGAUGCCUCAGACCCAGGACGGGGCAGCCAGCCGGAACCAAGGCCAGAGCUCGGCAGGAACGGAGCCAGGGCGAGGGUGCUCCUGGGGACUCUCUCUCUCUCUCUCGGCAGACUGCUGGGGGCUGUCGCCUCCUGCUGAGCCCCACACCCCAUGCGCUCCCUAGCCUUGGCGUUCAAAGGGGCCGGGCCUGACUUUGCAGGCAUUUGCUCCGCAAGUCCGUGCAGGGCGGAGGACCCAGGAGCUCCUCAGAGGACUCUUCUGACUCCGAGGAGGGGGGCAAGGCAAUGUCCUUGGGCUGCUCUGGCGGAUCUCCCCGCUCACCUGGUGUGGGGGGCCCAGGGGCGCAAGGCCACUGUGUGCCUGGUCACCGAUGUUCUCCAGAGGGUUUCCUCCUCUGAACUCCCUGCCCAGCCCCACCGGGGCAUCGUGAAGGAUGCCCAACCCCAGCGAGAGAUAUUCCUGCAGAGUUCCUUUCCUAUCCCCCCCCCCCAAUAUUUUCCCCAAGACCAAACCAUUAAAGCCCCCAGGAUUGCUUUCAAGAGUUUCCAGGAAAUGGAUGCCAAUUCUGGCGACUCUGAGCCAGUCCUGGGGGUUGCCGGCAACCCUACGGCCUUGGAACGAGGGGACCCAUGGAGGGCAACCUGCCCAGGGCUCCCUGGACCCUGGAACCGGUGGCAGAAAGCCAUGCUUUGUGGGUGCCCAUAAGGAGGUUGCUGCUCCAAGCCACUCCUGGGGUUCCGGAGCUGUCGGGGCUGGUCCUGGUGGCUGCGGUGAGGAGGGGAGCAGCCCGGGGAAAGGUGGCAGAAGACAAGGAGAAGUGGCAGGACCAGCCCGUAGAGAAGACCGGCCAGAAGAAGAGGGAGCCAGCCAGCCAAGGUGGCCAGGAAGCUGGAGGGAAGAGCAGCAGAGGAGCCGGGAGCAGCUCUGGCCCGGGCCUUGUGGAAACGGCACCGCUGCGGCUGGCCAACUGGCAGGACGGGGACUUGUGCCUCCCGGGCAGAAGCGGGUCCAGCAGCCUUCAAGCUCAAGAGCUAGGGCCGCCGUCAUUCCCGCCCGCCCCCAAUCUCUGCCGAGGACGGAAUCCAAGGUCUGUCCCAAGUUGGGGGCGAGAGCCACAAAGACCAGAGGGCGAGGCGGCGUCUGGAAAAGGGGAGGACAUCCUCAUGGAGAGGCCAAGAGCAGCUGCCGCUUCCUGGCGGAUGGAGGAGACUCCCCCGCCCCGAUUGCAGGGGUGUCGCUAUAACUGAGCCAUUGGGGUCAAAGAACCCGGGCCCCGCAGCUCCCGAGGGCCCCCCAGCUGCACCCCUCCCCAUUUUCUCCCUUAUUCCCCUCACUCUGAGGGGCUGCCGUCGGGGAGAGGGGUGAACACGGGCCUACAGCAGCGACACCGCUGCCGGCUUGCCUAGAGUCACAUUCCAUGAUGCCCUUGAGAAGAAGCCACUGAAGCGGGAAUCUGACCGCGUGAUUGCAGGAGACAGUUCUACUCCUUGGCCAAGACGCUGUGGGAAGCUGGAGGCAGAGAAAGGGGGAUGCUUGACCCCCAAGGGCUGCUGGGGUCUAGAGGAGCCUGGACUACUCACUUCACUGGCUCCGUCAUGGUGGUAAGUAGCUUCGGUGGGCAGGCAGGUGAGUUUUCCUUGGCCCCUUCCUGCCAACAGCUGUGCACGAUGCCUCCACCCCACAUCUGGCAAGAAAGUGGUCAUUCGGGAAGAAGUUGGGAACCUCAGAAGACCACAGCAGAUGGCUCAUGAGGAGGUGAAGCAAAUGUUGUAUAAUCUCGACAAGCUGUUUCCAACCCCACCCUAUUCUUGUCAGGUGCAAUAAACACAGGAGGAAACAUUUUUAAUCAUGAAUAUGCCAUUGCAGAGUGCCAGACUCUUCCAGAGGAAAGCGGACCGAUCAUUCUGCAAGCCUAAAGGUGUGUGCAAACAAUACGGACAUUCACUGCGGAGGGACCAUCACUGCUUAGGUAUUGGCAGGAAAGGAUCCCAAGAACAUGAUCGGCCGCCUUUUCUCGAGGGGAAGGCCACACGCUUAAAGAAGGAGAGAAGAGGUGAUGCCCACACAGCAGGGGUGUGUCAAGAGGUGACCAUUUUUGCCUACAAGUUACUGUUGACAGUUAGGAGUGUCAGUGAUCAUUUGUUUGACAAUCAUUGGCCAUCUCCCCCCCACCCCCCGCCAGACUGUAGAAGGCAAGCCAGGAUAGAGCUAUCCAGCUGGAACCGGCAAGGUGAGCAGAGGAGGGGAGGGGGGGAGAGCGAACGUGAGCAGCUGCCAUGACCAACCCAAUUAGGAAGGGUUGAUCCCAUCACACAAAGGACUGCUUCCAAGACAGAUGAGAAUUCCCAAAUUUUCCAGUGAGAAUGCCAGCUUCUGUAUUGUUCUCUUUGGAUUGCAAAACAUGUUCCUCUGUGGUGAUGACUCUUUCAACAGCUUAUCGCCUUCAGGGGUGGUGAAGUCGGAAGUGGAAGGGAAAGGCCCUCAACUCCUGUCCAGGGUCAAGAGGAUGCUUCUGGUCCAGACGGGAAGGCCUUCAGGGGCCUUCUUUGCAGUGGUGGUGUGAACUGAAGGGGCCCGGAGACCAGCGCCUUGGAGUGAUGGGACUCCCCAGCAGAACUUGGGAGAACAAAAGCAUGAUCUCAGAUCCGUGGAGCGUGAGUGAGUGGAAGUGUCUGGUCCUUGCUGACAUGCCCAGGGUAGCACUGGCCGCCACCUUUGGGGUCGGGAAGGAAUUUUCCUCCAGGGCAGAUUGGCCAAGGUCCUGGAGGUUUUUCGCCUUCCUCUGGGCAUCCAGCAGGGGUCACUUAUUAGGCGAUUUUAGAAAUGAAUCAAGAUAUAUAUUUUUUUUAAACCCCCCAAAUAAAAGCCAUAAACAUGGA